CUACGGGUCGCUCCAGUGGGGAAUUUUGCGCAAUGGGGGAAACCCUGACGCAGCAAUACCGCGUGAGUGAAGAGGGCCUUUGGGUCGUAAAGCUCUUUUCUUGGGGAAGAUAGUGACGGUACCCAAGGAAUAAGCACCGGCUAACUCCGUGCCAGCAGCCGCGGUAAUACGGAGGGUGCAAGCGUUGUUCGGAUUUACUGGGCGUAAAGGGCACGUAGGCGGCACAGCAAGUUAAGGGUGAAAUCCCGGGGCUCAACUCCGGAACUGCUCUUAAAACUGCGGAGCUAGAGAUAGUCAGAGGCGGGUGGAAUUCCAGGUGUAGAGGUGAAAUUCGUAGAUAUCUGGAGGAACACCGGUGGCGAAGGCGGCCCGCUGGGGCUAUUCUGACGCUAAGGUGCGAAAGCGUGGGGAGCAAACGGGAUUAGAUACCCGAGUAGUC
rnacentral:rRNA from 1 species